rnacentral:misc_RNA from 1 species
GUUCCUUCAACUUCAGCGGUAGAAUCAAUCAGUGUUGGAUGCAGAAAUAACGCCCACGGCCCUAUUUGAAAAGAUAUUAUUUAAAGGGACACUUCCAAACUCUAAAACAAUUAAUCUUGUGAAAAAAGAAAAUCCCUCUAGCAGUACUCUUCCAUCAGCCUUUAGCCUGGCGGAUAACCAUUUUAAUAACUCACAGCUCCAUCCUCAAUCUCUUUUACUUUGCUGGCCAAAUCCCAUCAAACAUCUCAAAGUAGUCUCUCCUUUACUUGAGCGAAAAUGACCAUUAGAUACCCAGGAAGCAAGAUUUUGG